AAAGUUAGUGUUCACACGACAACACCCAGGUUUCCGCCCAAUCCGUCUAUCCUAUCAUUGGUUAAUUAUUAAGUGUGGGAAAAAGAGGCUUGUAUAUCAAAGGGCGUGGUAAGGUCUAUAAAUGUGUGUUCGGGACCCAUUGUGUUGCCGGGGAAGAUUUGGGUUUCGCUCAGAGCUUCUUUGUGCCUGGGAGGCCUUGGGAAUUGAUGUCCACAUUGUUCGGGACAACUAUGGGAAGGGAAAAGGGGGAUACCUAGUCAGUUGUACAACUGAAUGCAUUCAACUGAAACGUGUCUUCCGCAUUUAACCCAACCCCUCUGAAUCAGCUAUGUGUAACUUGACUACACUCCCAUUGAGCACGAGAGGCACACUUCUCACAUUUGAUUUGAGCUUCCCAAAGCUAUCAGCUUGCCGUCACACAGACGUGCUGUACACUUACCACAGGAAGUCGGUGGCACCUUCAUUGGGGAGAACGUACUCGUGGUAAUGACCGGAGCGGAAUCAGUGGAAUGGUAUCAAAUACAUCAAACACAUGGUUUCCAGGUGUUUGAUGCCAUUCCAUUCGCUCCGGUCCGGACAUUAUUAUGAACCGUUCUCCCCUCAGCAGCCUCCACUGACACUUAAAGUAUAUUUGCCAUAAAGGCGAGUGAGACCUGAGGUUCUUCUUCCUAUUUUAUUCAUCACCAGUGACAGGUAAACAGCCUAUAGGUCUCACAUGUUUUGCAUCUAAAUGGCCUGAAGAGGCCGUCUCACCUCAUCUCCCCGCCUUCAUCUCUAUCGAUCUGAAAACCCAGAACAGGUCAAAGCAAUAUCGUGGAUGUCUGUACUGUGAAUUUCUUUUCACCUCUCCAGUUCUUUCACGUCUGUCCGGGUAAACGAGAGACGAGGAGAGGUAGGCCUAGUCCAUUGACUAUUGAAAUGCACCCAUUGUUUCACGUUCAGUCUUAUAGGACAACGGACAAGUACAGAGUUCCGUGUAACCUAUUAGGAAGUAGCCAAAGAGGCGUAAAGUAUACUUUCUCUUUCGUGGCUGUUUUUGUGCAAAGGCCUACUGGAGAGAAUCACACGGGCCAUAGCUAGCACAUUGUAAGUAAAGCCUUAUCGUGCAACAGUCACGGAGCCUUCACUAUUUAUCUGCUUCUGUACGCAGAUUGUACGACAUGUUGAUUGACUCAUGCCCAGCGGCAUAUGGAACCAUUUUGUUUUCUCAUGUCAUUUGCUUACAGUUGAUGAAAAAUGCUUCGGUAUUUUGAUCAUUUGCCAUGGCAUGUUUCCCAAAAUGUCCACAAAUUCACAGUGGCCCCUUGAACAUUUUGUUGCUCAUAUGAUUUGAUUAGUGCACCAUUUACAAAUGGGAAACGUUGUUUUCACAGCCACCCAUGUUGUUCUGUUAUUGCUAGAAGCACUGGUGCAUUGAGGUCGUGCUUCUCUAAUCUUUAGGAUCUGUAACUGAACAACAGGGCAGCUUUGUCAGGGGUUCUUAUAUCCGGCCUUCUACAAAAGUUGUGAUAAAGUUAUAUGGUAGCACUUUACAAUAAGGUCCCCUUUACAAAGGGCAUCUUAAUGUAAAGUACUCACAUUUGCUAUUCUUCCAUUUUUAAGUAGAUAUGGCACCACAUUAACACAGGAUGGCUCAGCCCACAGAAGAACCCUGUCAUUUUUCAUCAUACUCCAAAUUGAUUGGUAUCUACAGGAUUUAUUGAGGAGCGCAACCAUUCACAAGACCUCAAGGGUCUUCAAUUAAACUUCCUCUGUCUGUUUUUAUACUUUUAUUUGAUUGACCCUUUAUUGAACUAGGCAAGUCAGUUAAGAACAAAUUCUUAUUUACAAUGACGGCCUACCAAAAGGCAAAAGGCCUUUUGCAGGGAUGGGUGCUUGGAUUCAAAAUCUAAAUAAACAAAUAUAGGACUAUCUAGUAUGUACUGAUAGGGGGCCAACUGGAGUUAGUUAUAUCUUUCACAUUGAGGCCCUCAAGGUCGGCAUUUUCUAUUCAGUCCUCCCCACUCAGCAUUGCGGAGGUUAUUUGAUCUGCCGGGGGACAGACACAGAUACUACCUGGCUGGGAGACCACAUCACUGAUUCGUGGGGCGUUGUUUUGGCACAAACACAGUCCAACAGUUGUCUGUCCACAUUUAGCCAUGCUCCAUAAUUCUCUUUUUCUUGCCAGGAAUUGCCUGACUAAUGAAUUGGACUGCUGUCUGAGUUUGAUUCCAAUUCAUCCACUUUUCUUUGCACUAUUUGCUAAAUUGAUGACGUAACUUACUCGACUGUGGCGAUUGAUUUGUGUGGUUGUUUGCAACCAGAAAAGGCAGUGAAAAUGACACACUUCGUCUCUCACGUUUGAAUUACGACCAAAAGGUUUUGUUUGAAAAACGCAGCCUGACAACUCCGUAGCUGAACUAUCUGUAAAUAUUCACCCAGCAGUUAACAUGGUGACACAUCCUGAAAGAGAGCGAGACUCUGGACUCUGGAGCAGACACACCUGAGAGGCGUUAUUUCAAUGCAUGGUUGUUAUUCACAUAGACAUGUCACGGGAGAGUUGGUUGUGAUUGAUAAUGCAGAGCUGCCAGGGGGAACGGCACAAAGCAUCUGGUAUAUGGUCGAGUGGUGAGGUCGCCGGGGCCCAUUUAGAGUCUAAAAUAGGAGUCCGGUUUGGGUGAACUCGACUGCCCUUGCUUACGUCCAGAGAACUGGUUUCUGUAUGUAUUGCUAUGGACCUGAAGUUGACAGUGUGGCGGAUGCUACAUUGCAUUCUGUCAAACCGCCAUCGCCACAGCCUGGACCCGUGGCAGAGCAUGAGGCCUGUUUCAGGGACUUGUUUCUGAAGACCAUUUGCCACAAAGCCAUUUGGAAGGACCUGCAACCCAGAAUGCCAUGGAUAAAAGGGUCCAGAUUCAGGUCAACUUUAAGCUGAAAGAGGCCUCCGAUUGUGAAGGCGGGAGAAGGCGGUGCACAGGGGAGAGGGAUCCGAUUGUGAAGGCGGGAGAAGGCGGUGCACAGGGGAGAGGCAUCCGAUUGUGAAGGCGGGAGAAGGCGGUGCAUAGGGGAGAGGCAUCCGAUUGUGAAGGCGGGAGAAGGCGGUGCAUAGGGGAGAGGCAUCCGAUUGUGAAGGCGGGAGAAGGCGGUGCACAGGGGAGAGGCAUCCGAUUGUGAAGGCGGGAGAAGGCGGUGCACAGGGGAGAGGGAUCCGCUGCAGUGAGAGUCAGCAUCAAGUCUCGGACCACUUAUCUCAAAGCCAGCCUCUACUCGCAAGCCACAAGACCGAUCCAACAGCUGAACCCUGGGCGGACUCCUGCACCUUACCACACACUUACCAUGUAGUCAUAUUCUGUACACAUAAAUCACUUUAGUCUACCGGACCGAUGAAGUAGUUAUGGCAACUGCACUUUGUAGAUAUACUAUCAUUAUAAUUCUAUGCUGCUACUGCACUGUAGUCAUUCCACUCUAAGGGCAGAAUAUUUCCAUACUAUAUGAAUAUAGGUUAUUUUGGUUUUAUCUUACGGCUAUUUUUGUUUUAUCUUAUUCUUAUUUAUAUCUUCUUCUUUUUUAUCUGCAUGCUUCUUUUGUACACGUUUUUAUUGUUUUACUGUUAGUACGUCACAUAGGAAAGGAAUCAAAUAAGUGACAUUGUACGUUUUACAAUGCCCCUUCUUUGAUUCCUUUACGAUGUCACAUGAAUUACUGUGUGAGAAGCCUGUCAAUCAUUUUCUGUUGUUAUUGUUGAUUUUACUGGAUCGAUUUGUUGAUCCAGGGAACCAGGACUAGCCCUCGUUAUCUGAUAUAUUUUGCACACACAUAAUCAUUUACAGUACUUGUUAAAUACCUAUUGGAAAUCACAAAUCGUUUUUUUCAAAUGGACAUGGCAUCCAACGUAUCUUAAAUGAUAAAAGUCGAUAAAUGAAUAAGUGGUGAAAGGGUAGUAGGCACGCCGCUGUCUUGACGCUGACAAAACACCUUGCCUCCGACUGUCAGCUGUAGUGUCGCCAGUCGGAAGAAGGACAGGUGGAGGAAGGGUGGGCUGUGUGAGGAAAACAGCACUUGAACAGCAGGAGCACGGCUGCCGCUUGACAAAGUGGCAUAUCGCGGGCGCCCCAUGAAUGAGGCGAUUGGCGAAAAAGCUGUCGCGCGGCAUGCGACCACUCUGGAGGGAUGCCCGGCCUCCCGAUUGCUCAUUGCUAACUGGGUCGGCAAAGUGCAAAGAAAUGUUCAUUCAGGUUAGGGGGAGUUCCCGCUUGAAUUUGGUUAAAAGGGCAGUGAAUUCGCUCAUACUUUGAGGACUUGUUAGCAAGCUCCUGAGACACAUCAUUUUUUUCUCUCAGAGAUUAUCAACUGAAGACACAUGUAACUACUUUAAGUCUUAUUUAGUGAGAAUCAUUUACUCUGUGUUAUUCUGUAACGUGUCAUGUAUUUCAUGUACACUGUCAUAGUUUGAGUGUAAAUGAUUUAAUGACCACUAAGUCCUAUUAGUGAGUGAAUGACUUCCUUGUUUUACAGAGUAAUGCUUUGACUAUACGUUCAGAAUUUAGCAGGUCUACUGGUAAAUAUAAUUCCCAAUACACAUAGCAUAGAUGCUUGUCCUCUAACUGUGCAUCUCUGAGCUAUAAGGUUAACUCAAUAGUUGAAUGCUAAGGCAUAGAUCGCAAGAUAUGAGCUCUUAGUCUUGGACACGUGUCACUUCUAGUAUUCCGACUGGUGAUGCAAGGCUUGCGACUCAAACUAGACCCAAUGAAUACACCUAUGGACCUAUAGUAUUUAUUCACAUAAUAAUGGAGUUAGAUUGAUGAAUGUCGUUUAUUAUAUUCAACAUCGUUUUCAUUCAACUACAGUCAGAAAUAUUGGUUGUUUACACAAGAGGAUGUAAAUAAUAACACAAUAUCUCAAUUUGAAGCCAAGAAACGGCAACAUAUUGUUAAGGUUGGUGCAUGUUGUAUUCUGCUAUUCCUGUGCUGUGGAGUUGUGGAGACCAGCAACUUAAGAGCAUCCAAUGGCGCUUGUUUGAGACCUAUAUUGUUGACGUGUCUAUGUAGUGUUCGGGUAGGUUUAAAAACUCUCCAAAACAAGAAGGGUCCCGACCCUUGUGGUACACCACUCUAAACAAAGUCAUAGGAUAAAAGUGUCCCAUGUCGUCUCUUUACAGUCAACACUCUGAUGUCAUUUCCUUUUUCAUAAAUAACAAUUGUUUUGACCAUGACUUUACAAAACAAGCCCCAUUGUCACGUCUCCACACAUUGGUGGAUGUGAUUUACUUUUAACCCCCCCCCCCACUACAACCCCCCCAUCCCAACUCGAGUUAGUAUGUCCGGGUGUCUAUGCUGCGCUAGGUUGCACUUUGGAGGGGGUGGGGGUAUAGUUGAUCUGGAGUAUGGAAUUCCCCUCCUUCAGCAGACCACACAGUCAGACCCUCCAAAACACACACAGAGAGAGAGAGAGAGAGAGAGAGAGAGAGAGAGAGAGAGAGAGAGAGAGAGGGAGAGGGAGAGGGAGAGGGAGAGAGAGUUCCUGUCCCUCCCUUCCUUUUACCUAUCCGCCUCUCUUUUUGUUAUUGUGGACACAAUGAGUGGUGGACACAAUGAGUGGUGGACACAAUGAGUGGUGGACACAAUGAGCUGCAUGACACCAUUGUCCCUCCGAUCAAUGACUCACAUUGACUCAAAGUGACUAUUUUAUCAAUGGGUUGAAGGAAUAUAAUGUGAUACGACACAUGACCUCAGUUGCCUUGAGGGCCACAAUUAUUUUGUCAUCUGUCGAACACUUUUUUGCUCUGGACUCUGGGCCAGUUUCCUGGACAAAGGUUGAGCCUAUGGUCCUGGACUUAAAAGCACUUUAAAUUAGGAACAUCCAGUAACCAUCUUUUUAAGGAACGUGAAAUAUGCUUAUUUUUCCAGGACUAGGUUUAAUCAGCCCUCCGUGUGCAAAUAUAACAUAUUUUGGACUGAGACGUCCCGUUGUCGGCCGGUCUGUUUGUGUUUGUAAAAUCCAGUUUGAGUCUGUCCAGAGGCUCCCUCAUGUGUAGUUAAUGUCCUGCCUGAGGGGCAGAGCGGGGUCUGCUCUGGUCAGCCAGUGAGAACACACACCAACCUGUUUUUCAAAGAGGGCCCUGUUCUCCCCUCAGCAUUGCCUAGCAACACCAGAGGUCAAAGCCAGUUGAGAUUUUACAGGAUUCCGGCGAAUCAGAGGGCCGCUUGGCCAACACGCCCCCGCAGACUGACAGAGGUGCUAACCAUGAUUCAUAGAGGGGGUGAGUCAAAACAUGGGGACUGUCUGACUGUCUGACAUGUUCUGUGCUUUUACAUUGCAACGACAAAUGCAUGUGCACUACUUAUGUUGCUUGUUUUGAGAAAAUGCUUUCAUCUAUAUCACUAAUUGUUUAACUUUUGCAGAGCUAUAAACUGCCAGGUGAUCUUCAACUUUCAAACGUUCAAAUCAUAUAUUAGUGCAAUUCGGUGGUCUAUGACUCUUACCUUAAGUGAUGGCUUUGCUGAAAUGUGCGUGCAUGUUGUGCACAAGUGUGUGUGUGUGUGUGUGUGUGUGUGUGUGUGUGUGUGUGUGCGUGUGUGUGUGUGUGUGUGUGUGUGUGUGUGUGUGUGUGUGUGUGUGUGUGUGUGUGUGUGUGUGUGUAAGAGAGUAAUAACAUUCACUCAACUAAGCCUCGGGGCUCAUGUUGUUUCCUGGUUUCCUGUUUGCUGAUGUUGUUGUUGUUGUUGUUUUGUCCUGAAAAGACGCUUAAGCGGGCGAAAUAUUCCAAGAUUUCCGGUAACAGGAGCAAAGUGGUGCCUCCACCCUGGUAAUUACUGAACGCUGGCUUGGCACAAGUACACUGGAGGUUAUACGGAAUGUUUCAACAGCAGUUAUCAUUACGAUAAUGCAACGGAAUGUGACCCCCCCCCCCCCCCCCACACACACACACACACACACACACACACACACACCGUUAUCUAGUGAUGACCACAGAGUAAACGUAGAUUUGGAUCCUGCAGUAAAUUGUCCCUAUUGGGUUGCAAGCAGCAGAGGGGUGUGGCUCGGAAGUAAGAAGUAGAUUGGAGAUCUGGGCUGUGUCCCAAAUGGCACCCUAUUCCGUAUAUUCUGUACGUACUGUAUGUCCUUAUGUGAAAUACACAGCAAAUUGGCCAGGGUUGAUUUUUCAGUGUAAAAUUUCUAGUGAAAUUACUCUGUAAGAGUGAAAUUAAUGCUGUGGUGUAAAAUAACCCCCAGUGUUGGUUUUAAUAACCAGAGUUAUUGUUUUACACUGUGGAGAGUAACAGUCCCAUUAAAACGACACCCAUCAUUAUCAUAUUUCCCAGCAUGCUCUACUGCAGGUAGAUUUUUUUUCGGAUUGUUUUUGAUCUGUGUUUUUGCAUGUACACUUAUGCUACACAAAGAUAAAUAACUGACUUUUUUUUUUAAACUCAUCCAAUCAGUAAUGUAUGUUUUAAUAAUGUUUUUAUAAUGUUCUUUUUCUCGGUUGAAAGGGUUUAGGUAGUGUUUUUUUUAAAUCAAGUUUCCUAAUCCUGAUGGUCAUUCUGAAUGCAGGAAUUACACAUCACUUUGCAAGCCAGCAGAAUGUGACUUGAAGGCCUGAUGUGGCCUGUAAACCAGGGGUUUCCUAACACCACCGUGUUAGGGUAAAACUAGGCCAGCAACUAGGCCAAUAUGUAAAGCAUUAUGAUAUAUGUAAUGUAUUGUCAUAGAGUUGAAUUACCAUUGAUAGCAUUCACUUAGGAACUCACUUGUCUCUGUCACGAACCAAUACAUUCAUGGGUGUUAACUGUACAAUUUACUCAAAAAGUAAAGGCACCCUGGGAAAUAAGCAAAUUAGGCUUUAUACCAUACAGUGUUAAAACAACACCCAAAAAUGAUUUACUGUUCUACUACAGGUGUUCAUUUCUUACACUGAGAAAGUGUAACAGCGUCAGCACUAAGCAGAGUGAGUCCAGUGUACUCUAAACAAAGUGUUUUACACUGUAGGAUUAGUGUAUUACUCUACAUUAGAGCUAUAUGAACACCACAAUCAAGUUCCUCAAGAGUUAAAAGGGGAACACUGCAACAGAGUUAAAUCUUGAACACUUUAAAAGUGUUAUUUUAACAUCAGUACACUGGGACUCAUAUGUUCACUGAAAAUAGUGUACAUAUUACACUUUCAGAGUUAAAUGUACACCAUUUAUUUUGCUGUGUACUUUUGGCCAGGGCCCAUAGGUCAGUACGGAUGACCUUCGUGUUACGGUUUUCACUUUUUCCGUACUUUUUCCCCCUCCUCUUUAAUAAAAAAAAUCCUCAGUUA